AAUAGAUACCCUGGUAGUCCACGCUGUAAACGUUGGACACUAGGUGUGGCGGUCUGAUCAACGACUGCCGUGCCGAAGCUAACGCAUUAAGUGUCCCGCCUGGGGAGUACGGCCGCAAGGCUAAAACUCAAAGGAAUUGACGGGUCCCCGCACAAGCGGCGGAGCAUGCGGCUUAAUUCGAUGCAACCCGAAGAACCUUACCUGGGUUUGACAUCAUGGGAAAAGCCGUGGAAACACGGUGUCCGAAAGGGCCCAUGACAGGUGGUGCAUGGCUGUCGUCAGCUCGUGUCGUGAGAUGUUGGGUUAAGUCCCGCAACGAGCGCAACCCUUGUCCUAUGUUGCCAGCGGUUCGGCCGGGGACUCAUAGGAGACUGCCGGGGAUAACUCGGAGGAAGGUGAGGACGAUGUCAAGUCAUCAUGCCCCUUAUAUCCAGGGCUGCACGCAUGCUACAAUGGUCGGUACAACGGGCAGCGAUCCUGCGAAGGUGAGCGAAUCCCACAAGCCGGCCUCAGUUCGGAUUGGAGU
rnacentral:rRNA from 1 species